rnacentral:rRNA from 1 species
GACGAACGCUGGCGGCGUGCCUAACACAUGCAAGUCAACUUGACUGAAGGAGCAAUCUGACAGUAGAGUGGCGCAAGGGUGCGUAACGCGUAAGUAACUUGCCCAAGGUAAGGAAUAACGUCGAGAAAUCGGCGCUAAUACCUCAUAAUGCAGCGGAUCCGCAUGGAUAUGUUGUUAAAGGUUUACCGCCUUGGGAUAGGCUUGCGUCUGAUUAGCUAGUUGGUGUGGUAACGGCACACCAAGGCUACGAUCAGUAACUGGUCUGAGAGGAUGAUCAGUCACACUGGAACUGAGACACGGUCCAGACUCCUACGGGAGGCAGCAGUGAGGAAUAUUGGGCAAUGCUCGAAAGAGUGACCCAGCAACGCCGCGUGGAGGAUGAAGGUAUUCUAUAUCGUAAACUCCUGUGAGAGCAGACGAAAGACAGAUUAUUAAUCUGGUU